UUUAGAACACACAGUCAUUCUUAAUCUCAUGUUGCUUCAGACACACCACUGCUCCAGGCCAGCAAGAAUGUUUUUCUGGUUUAGGGUGAAGCCACUCAUUUAUGGUCUGCAGCCAAACCUGCAAAAUUUCCAAGGUCUGCCAGUAUUAGCAAAGGGAACAAUUCUCUCCAAAAAUGCACCAUAAACAAGUUAGAUGCAGCUCAGGAAUGCGACAAUAUUUUAAUAUAAGAAAAUGGCUUAUAAAGAUAUGUGACCCUCCCAACCUGGGAACUUGUAAAAUAACAAUCACCACUGCACAGAUGAUACCUGGCCUCAGAAUGGUGUUGUCCAGCACUGGGAUUUCCUUCAAAAGUAUUGGCUUACCAGUGCAGGACUCAGAAAGACUACAGUGUGACUUUUUAGUACAAGAAGUUUCAUCUAGUCUGAGGCCUAAGGUGGAAAUAAUCAGAAAUCAUCAAGGAAGACUUUUGCUGUCAUCAUUUACAGUGCACUGUUACAGACUCUUAUCAACAUAUUGUCCCUUUCUGCUUUUACUCUCUUGGUAGAAAAUGCCUGCAAUCAUUUGAAAUAUAGGCAUUUCCCAGC